rnacentral:rRNA from 1 species
AGAGUUUGAUCCUGGCUCAGAGCGAACGCUGGCGGCAGGCUUAACACAUGCGAGUCGAGCGGGCGUAGCAAUACGUCAGCGGCAGACGGGUGAGUAACGCGUGGGAACGUACCUUUUGGUUCGGAACAACACAGGGAAACUUGUGCUAAUACCGGAUAAGCCCUUACGGGGAAAGAUUUAUCGCCGAAAGAUCGGCCCGCGUCUGAUUAGCUAGUUGGUGAGGUAACGGCUCACCAAGGCGACGAUCAGUAGCUGGUCUGAGAGGAUGAUCAGCCACAUUGGGACUGAGACACGGCCCAAACUCCUACGGGAGGCAGCAGUGGGGAAUAUUGGACAAUGGGGGCAACCCUGAUCCAGCCAUGCCGCGUGAGUGAUGAAGGCCCUAGGGUUGUAAAGCUCUUUUGUGCGGGAAGAUAAUGACGGUACCGCAAGAAUAAGCCCCGGCUAACUUCGUGCCAGCAGCCGCGGUAAUACGAAGGGGGCUAGCGUUGCUCGGAAUCACUGGGCGUAAAGGGUGCGUAGGCGGGUCUUUAAGUCAGAGGUGAAAUCCUGGAGCUCAACUCCAGAACUGCCUUUGAUACUGAGGAUCUUGAGUUCGGGAGAGGUGAGUGGAACUGCGAGUGUAGAGGUGAAAUUCGUAGAUAUUCGCAAGAACACCAGUGGCGAAGGCGGCUCACUGGCCCGAUACUGACGCUGAGGCACGAAAGCGUGGGGAGCAAACAGGAUUAGAUACCCUGGUAGUCCACGCCGUAAACGAUGAAUGCCAGCCGUUGGAAAGUUUACUUUUCAGUGGCGCAGCUAACGCUUUAAGCAUUCCGCCUGGGGAGUACGGUCGCAAGAUUAAAACUCAAAGGAAUUGACGG